rnacentral:lncRNA from 1 species
GGGGUGGAGGCGGAGAAGCCACCGGAAGGCGCCAUAGCCCCACUGCUGCCUGCCCCACUUCUGCCUGCCUCCCCAUGUGACUUGGCUGACGACAGCACUCCGUGGAAGGGCCUAGAGGCUUCCGUCCUGGGCUGCUGGACAAGUGGGUGACGUUGAUCAAGGCACUGGGCUCACACGGGCCGCGCCCCGCGUGAUCUGUUGUCUCCAGGCAGACUGCCUCACUUGGGGCGAUUCUUUGAUCCCUGCUUCCUAUAUGGCAAGCCAGGGACUGAAACUUACGAUUUGACUGGACAAUCUAUAAGGUACCAUAAUACAGUCUCCACUUGACUGAUGAGAAAAUAAAGACCUGGCAAGUCCAGGGCUUGCUCAAAGGAGUGUUUUCCAUUCGAAUGUAAACAAGAGUCUCACUGCCAGGUCCUCCCUCUUCUGCCACUGUGAGUCCUCACCUCCCUCCCUAAUCUCUGACACCCCCCCCCCCCCCACCAGCCUUCCUGUGUGCUGCUGCUAUUCUGUCUCCAUCUCUCAGGGCAUCCAGCUCAGGCCAAUGGCAGGAGUCCACCUGCUGGAUUGCUGUCUGAAUUGUGCACAUGCCCAGACCCCUUCCGCUGAUUGCAUCCACAGGCUUCCUUGCUCUGGCCUUUUGCCUUGACACCAUCCUAAGAGCUUGGAGGGCUCCCCACAGAUAGACAGGGAUGCCAAGACCUGGGCCUGCCCAAGGGCCCACAGCACGUCCCCUCCCCAGCACCUAUGACUUCAGGGCCCCUGACUCAUGGUAGGGGCCUUGCAUUUUGCUGAUAAUGCCCAGUCCUGAUUCCCCCACAGCUGUGCUGGCCCAGACGAUCACUGCAUAACUCUGGCUUUCCCAGCUGAGUGACCUCCCUCUGCCCUCUGAGGAAUGAAUUCACAUUCUCUCCCUUCCUCCCUCUCUCUCCCUCUUUCUCUCUCUGAGACAGGGUCUCAAAUCCAUGAAGCCCUGGCUGUCCUGGAACUUACUGGGCUGGCCUCGAACUCAGAUCCACCUGCUUCUGCCUCCCAAGGGCUGGGAUUAAAGGCGUGCGCCACCA